rnacentral:lncRNA from 1 species
UUAUCACCUUGGCCAAGUUAUUUCUGUUUCUCAGAGAGUCAGUGUUCUCUCUGUAAAAUGGGAAGCUACUGUAUGGAAGCUAUUUCUUGGUGCUUUUGAGAAUUAAAUGAGUUAAAGGACAUGAAGUGUUUUUUCAAGCAUCUAACGGAGAACUUAAUUAAUAGUGUACUCAUCUAAAGGUCCCUUUGAUAAUCAUACUGCCCAGUAUUUGCCUGAGGCCUGGUGGGUGUUUGACCAAUGUCUGCUAGAUGAGUGGAUACAGACACACCUUGCUUGGGGGUCCAAGGCAAUGAGACCCACACAGAGAGGCUAGCUGUAUUUUGUUUGGUUGCUUCCAAAUGGAUCUUCCUAUUUCCAGGACGCAAGCUUCAUGAAACAUAAAUAGAUUGGUGCCUAGGUUCUUAAACCUGGUACCAAAAUAGCUACAUUCACUAUGAGAAACCUGCCUGCCUCUUACAAGCUAGUCCUUCCAGGUUUCACUUUUCUUGGCAUCAUUCUUAGUUCUGAUAUGUUUCUUCAGUUUCUUUAAUCAUAUCCCAUCAUCUGCCUGACCUAUCUCUGUAACAAUCUCAUACGUCGAGAACACAACCUGUUCUUUCUUGCCAGGUAGAAAAGAAGUCAUCAAAGCUCACUUUCUUCCGUGAUUCCACCUUUAUGAGCUAUCUGCUUCUUCCGCGAAAUAUUAAUGCAAAAAGAGAACAUUGGUAAACAUUGGUAAAAUUUAUUAACUACCCUGAUUAAAGUACAAUGAAAGCGUCAACCACAUGACAACAAUGGUCGACACUUUGGAGGGUGUCUUUCUGCCUCACAGUGACCACAGGGGACAUCUCUGGACAGUGAGGAGAUACAUUACAACCCUGCUGCUGGCUGUCAUUGGCUGGAUCAAAACUGAGCCAAUCAGCGUUCCUGUCCAGAGAAUAUGGAAUUGGGCUGGGGAGGGCAGAAAAUCAUUGGGAGAAGAAAGGGAAGGAAUCGAGAGAGCACUUGAAAGUGUCCUGAAGGCUCGAACCAUAGCAGGUGAAUUUGAAAGAGAUGCCAAUAAAGCAUUAUGCAACUGUCAAUCUGAUAAUGGAAGUGCCACCGAAGAUUCAUAUUUAACAGCCACCAAAUGUAAUAGACAAUAGGGAAAGGUGGGGACCUGAAUUAACUAGCCAUGUUUGAGAAAAUAAUUGAGGCAAUAAAAAGAUCAAUAGGGAAUCAGGCCAUUGUCCAGGACCUAAGGGUUUUCUCAGUGGAAUGUUUCAAAAGAAGAGCAUUUUAUUAACUCAUCCCAUUUUUACUACACAAAGAAAUGUACCUCAGGUGCCUGUUGUCACUGGAGAAUGGGUACACAGUGAGACUCGAGUUAACUACAGAGCUAGUGAGUGACUAAACAAAAAGGAAUUUGGUCACAUACCUCCCUCUACUCAACGAAGCCCUGCAGAUACAUCAAGAACAACAGAAACAUCAUUCCAGACCAGAAAAAUCAUGCUGCUUCAGAAAAUUUAGAAAACCCGGGAGAGUUCAAAGAAGAAAAAGCACCCUCAGAUCACCAUCCAGAGAUACAAAAAUUAGUUGUAUUUCUUUCCAAUUUUUUUCCCCGUGAGUGUGAAUAAUAUACACUUAUACAUUAUCUGUAUAUACAUGGAAAAUAACAUUUUCAUCUUCCCGUAUAUGUUAUUUUCAUAGGCUUUUCACUUAAUGCCUAGUGAGGAUUUUUUUUUUUCAUUCCACAUAAUUUCAAUGCUCCAACACAUUUGAUUGUAUGGUUUUGUCAUAAUUUAAUCCAUAUAUUAGGUAUUUAUAUAGUUCCCACCUUCCCUCUUGCUACGGACUAAAUGUAUCUUCCCCAAAUUCAUAUGCC